rnacentral:rRNA from 1 species
CAGCCGCCGCGGUAAUACGUAGGUGGCAAGCGUUGUCCGGAAUUAUUGGGCGUAAAGCGCGCGCAGGCGGUUCCUUAAGUCUGAUGUGAAAUCUCGCGGCUCAACCGUGAGCGGGCAUUGGAAACUGGGGAACUUGAGUGCAGGAGAGAAGAGCGGAAUUCCACGUGUAGCGGUGAAAUGCGUAGAGAUGUGGAGGAACACCAGUGGCGAAGGCGGCUCUUUGGCCUGUAACUGACGCUGAGGCGCGAAAGCGUGGGGAGCAAACAGGAUUAGAUACCCUGGUAGUCCACGCCGUAAACGAUGAGUGCUAGGUGUUAGAGGGGUUCCGCCCUUUAGUGCUGCAGCUAACGCAUUAAGCACUCCGCCUGGGGAGUACGGCCGCAAGGCUGAAACUUAAAGGAAUUGGCGGG